GAGUUUGAUCCUGGCUCAGGAUGAACGCUGGCGGCGUGCCUAAUACAUGCAAGUCGAGCGAACAGAUAAGGAGCUUGCUCCUUUGAAGUUAGCGGCGGACGGGUGAGUAACACGUGGGUAACCUACCUAUAAGACUGGGAUAACUUCGGGAAACCGGAGCUAAUACCGGACAACAUUUAGAACCGCAUGGUUCUAAAGUGAAAGAUGGUUUUGCUAUCACUUAUAGAUGGACCCGCGCCGUAUUAGCUAGUUGGUAAGGUAACGGCUUACCAAGGCGACGAUACGUAGCCGACCUGAGAGGGUGAUCGGCCACACUGGAACUGAGACGCGGUCCAGACUCCUACGGGAGGCAGCAGUAGGGAAUCUUCCGCAAUGGGCGAAAGCCUGACGGAGCAACGCCGCGUGAGUGAUGAAGGGUUUCGGCUCGUAAAACUCUGUUAUUAGGGAAGAACAAAUGUGUAAGUAACUGUGCACAUCUUGACGGUACCUAAUCAGAAGGCCACGGCUAAC
rnacentral:rRNA from 1 species